rnacentral:rRNA from 1 species
UGGGGAAUAUUGCACAAUGGUCGCAAGCCUGAUGCAGCCAUGCCGCGUGUAUGAAGAAGGCCUUCGGGUUGUAAAGUACUUUCCGUCGGUAGAAAGGUGUCAAGGUUAAUAACCUUGGCAAUUGACGUUACCGACAGAAGAAGCACCGGCUAACUCCGUGCCAGCAGCCGCGGUAAUACGGAGGGUGCAAGCGUUAAUCGGAAUUACUGGGCGUAACGCGCACGCAGGCGGUUGAUUGAGUCAGAUGUGAAAUCCCCGGGCUUAACCCGGGAGUUGCAUCUGAUACUGGUCAGAUCGAGGCUUGUAGAGGGGGGUAGAAUUCCAUGUGUAGCGGUGAAAUGCGUAGAGAUGUGGAGGAAUACCGGUGGCGAAGGCGGCCCCCUGGACAAAGACUGACGCUCAGGUGCGAAAGCGUGGGGAGCAAACAGG